CGGCUGGCUGUUUAUAAACCCAAUCUCCCUCUCAAAUUCAAAAUUCAUGGCUUUCAAUGGUGGGGGAGGGGGUCUGCUGGGGGGGGCGUCAGGAGGGAGGAUCGGAAGGGACCCCCCCUCCUGCCCCCCCCAGGUUUAUGUAAUGGAGCGAUUUUGGGAGGGGGAUAUUUUGCACGCUCUCUUUUUUUUUAAAUUUUGGGCCUUUAUAAUUGUAUAUUGCUGAUAAAUAGACGCGUAUGGGGACUCUCUCUAUUAAACCCAGGACUCUGGCGAAAUUGCAGGGAAUUCAUGGUCACGGGACCGGCCUCGGCCAAUCGCUCGUCUGGGCUUGGUGGAAAACAGAGCAUUAUUUGCUUUAAUUGAUUCAAAAACUCUAGAGGACCACGACCUGGACACCAUGAGCCCCCCAAGUCCGACACUCCCUCUCCCCAAUGCCUCCUUUUCUCCAGAGAAGCUAAAGGAACCCUCCUCUCAUCUUCAGAGGAUGAGAGGUUCUGGAAGCCUGGGAAACAAGAGAAUCUAAGGGAGAAAUCAUCCUCUUUUCUAAAUAUUUUUAACAGAGUAAAUUAAUGCUUUCUCAAGGCCAGCAGCACUCCACCUCCACCACCACCCCCUCCAAAAAAAAGGAAAACUCAUUGAGGAUCCAUGUGGGAGGAAGAGGUAGUAGAGAGGCUUCCACCCUUUGGGAAAGGUCAGCAUUAAGGUGAAAUAAGGAAGAAAAUAGAUUUACAACCACCAGCACCACUGUCCCCAAUGCACCCAUCCCACCCCCCACCCCAAAAACAAGAGAUAAAGCUUGGAAAAUCAUCAGGCACUCCCAGGCUGACACAGAGGAGUGAGAUGGGUGGUGAGGGGCCCUUUUGGGCAUCUGGCCACCAUAGCUGUAUGGCCCCAGCUCCCUUCUCUGCCCAGUGUUUGCAGCAUUGUCCCUGCCCCUGUGUCCGUCCACCUGCCUUCACCUGCAGGCAUCUGCACACCUACCUCCCUGAUACCCUGAAAACAGCAGGGCCUAAGAUGCACAAGCAGCCACUCAAGCCUCAAAUCUGUAUCUGCAGCUAUAUCCAGGGACAUAAAUGUGAACCGAUAUAGCCACUGAUUUAACUUAGGGCACUGUCAAAGCCCAGGUCAAUGUAUGAGGGUGGAGGAGGAAGAGAAGCCCCCUGACAGAGACUUCCUCCUAUUUUUGGCACUGUACUAGGUUUUUACUUAUUCAUUUAGUUAUUUAGUUAUUUUAUCCCUGGCAAAAAGGAAUCUCCUUAACAUGGAGGAGAUGGAAAUAAUGACCACUGAAAUGAUACUCUAUUUCUGGCCCCUGGGGAAAAUUUGCUUUUUUGUUUUUUAUUUAUUUUGAGGGGAUGAAGAUAGGGAACUUUAGGCAAUGCGGUAAUUUACUGGAGAGAAGGGUCACAAGACUCUGGGCCCCAAGCAAUUGGUGGGAAAUAGAUCUCAAAGCAGAAAAUGCAAAGUCGAUCUGGGGGAAGAUUUUUAAAUAAGUGAGUCAGAGGGACUGAGAUGAGAUGAGGCAAUCAAUCUUACCCCCUGACAGCUCCCUCCGAUGGCAUCAAAGAAUUUGGCUCUUUGGUAAAGCAGAGGGAACAGCCGAAAUUCCACAUCCCUUUUAAAGGUCUGGGGGUGGGGGUGUUAGCAAAAGAGAAAGGUGAUUCUGGGAGAGCAGGGAAACAGAUGAGAAAUGGGGACAGAGGGAAGGGCACUGAGUUGGGUGGAAAGUUUGUCUGGCGAACUCCCACGCUCUGGCCUCCCCUCCCCCUCCUGGCUCUGCAGCCCAGCAAGGCAGAGAAGGCUGGUUAGCAAAGAAAUGGCAACUCAGCCUGGAGCUGGAACUAGAAACUUUCUGUCAGUGUAACAACCGCGUGGGUGGUGACCCAAUGGUGGUUGGGCUUCGGGUCACGUGACGACUUCUUUGUAGCUCCGGAAGAGAACUGUGAAGUUUAGGUUGCAUGGAAGCAGCAAGGAGAAUUGAGAGGGAGAAAAAAUCAAGAAUUGGGGGAAUUAUCCGUUGAAAUGAAAGUGGGUUGGCAGGCAGAUGGAAGGGCUGGGAACUUUAAAAAGCAACUUCUCGGGCCAGAAGAAAGGAAAGGAGCUCCAGCCCCGUUCUUCCCAGGUGGCUACCAUAGCCUCCUCACCUCCUCCUCCAGACCGCCUGGCUACCCCCAUUCUCCAGAGCUCUACAGCCCUCGCCCCUCCUGGAUGUCUCCCUACCCCAUGACCUCGUCCUUUUGCCUUCUCUCUGCCAUCACAGGUGUGUUAAUUUGGGCGCUUCUUGGAUUCUACCCUGAGGAGGCGCGUGGUGAGAGGAGAGAUCUUGAUCUGCCGCUCGCUGAGGUUCAGCAGGUUGGCCAUCUCCACGCGGCGCGGCCGGCACAGGUAGCGGUUGAAGUGGAACUCCUUCUCCAGCUCCACCAGCUGCGCGCUAGUGUACGCUGUCCGCGCCC